rnacentral:rRNA from 1 species
CGAACGGCAGCGCGGACUUCGGUCUGGCGGCGAGUGGCGAACGGGUGAGUAAUGCAUCGGAACGUACCUUUCAGUGGGGGAUAACGUAGCGAAAGUUACGCUAAUACCGCAUAUUCUGUGAGCAGGAAAGCAGGGGAUCGCAAGACCUUGCGCUGAUGGAGCGGCCGAUGUCAGAUUAGCUAGUUGGUGGGGUAAAGGCUCACCAAGGCGACGAUCUGUAGCGGGUCUUAGAGGAUGAUCCGCCACACUGGAACUGAGACACGGUCCAGACUCCUACGUAGGCAGCAGUGGGGAAUUUUGGACAAUGGGCGCAAGCCUGAUCCAGCCAUGCCGCGUGAGUGAAGAAGGCCUUCGGGUUGUAAAGCUCUUUCGGCCGGGAAAAAAUCGCUUGGGUUAAUACCCUGAGUGGAUGAUGGUACCGGAAUAAGAAGCACCGGCUAACUACGUGCCGGCAGCCGCGGUAAUACGUAGGGUGCGAGCGUUAAUCGGAAUUACUGGGCGUAAAGCGUGCGCAGGCGGUUUUGUAAGACAGGCGUGAAAUCCCCGGGCUCAACCUGGGAACUGCGUUUGUGACUGCAAGGCUAGAGUAUGGCAGAGGGGGGUGGAAUUCCACGUGUAGCAGUGAAAUGCGUAGAGAUGUGGAGGAACACCAAUGGCGAAGGCAGCCCCCUGGGCCAAUACUGACGCUCAUGCACGAAAGCGUGGGGAGCAAACAGGAUUAGAUACCCUGGUAGUCCACGCCCUAAACGAUGUCAACUAGGUGUUGGGUGGGUAAAACCAUUUGGUACCGUAGCUAACGCGUGAAGUUGACCGCCUGGGGAGUACGGCCGCAAGGUUAAAACUCAAAGGAAUUGACGGGGACCCGCACAAGCGGUGGAUGAUGUGGAUUAAUUCGAUGCAACGCGAAAAACCUUACCUACCCUUGACAUGCCAGGAACUUGCCAGAGAUGGCUUGGUGCCCGAAAGGGAGCCUGGACACAGGUGCUGCAUGGCUGUCGUCAGCUCGUGUCGUGAGAUGUUGGGUUAAGUCCCGCAACGAGCGCAACCCUUGUCGUUAAUUGCCAUCAUUUAGUUGGGCACUUUAACGAGACUGCCGGUGACAAACCGGAGGAAGGUGGGGAUGACGUCAAGUCCUCAUGGCCCUUAUGGGUAGGGCUUCACACGUCAUACAAUGGUCGGUACAAAGGGUUGCCAAGCCGCGAGGCGGAGCCAAUCCCAGAAAGCCGAUCGUAGUCCGGAUCGCAGGCUGCAACUCGCCUGCGUGAAGUCGGAAUCGCUAGUAAUCGUGGAUCAGCAUGUCACGGUGAAUACGUUCCCGGGUCUUGUACACACCGCCCGUCACACCAUGGGAGCGGGUUCCGCCAGAAGUAGGUAGCCUAACCGCAAGGAGGGCGCUUACCACGGCGGGGUUCG